GCCGAAUUAAUUUAGGCUUCUGUUUCCCAUAUUUCCCCCUCCUCUGAGUUACUUCUAUGGGGGCUCCUUGGAUAAUGGAAGACCACCCUCCCUCUAGAUGGUCCAUCGUGGAGUUGGCGCUAGCAUUUAGGCGGGGCGCCAGGAGGGAGCGAGGGAAGGAGAAAGGGCAGAAGCCCCGCCCCCCGCCUUCGGACGCCAUCUUGGAGCCGGGCGGAAGUCCAACGAGAGUGGAAGGCCUCUGCUUCCUAGAGUGGCGGCGCCACUUCCGGGCAGUUCCUCAAUGGCGGAGGAAAGCUGAGGAGAGCGGGAAGCGGCAGGGAAGGCCUAAGUUUACUCGUGCCUCAUCUAUCUAUCUAUCUAUCUAUCUAUCUAUCUAUCUAUCUAUCUAUCUAUAUGACGUAAUAAUAAUGUAAUAAUA
rnacentral:lncRNA from 11 species